rnacentral:rRNA from 1 species
CCAGACUCCUACGGGAGGCAGCAGUAGGGAAUCUUCGGCAAUGGACGGAAGUCUGACCGAGCAACGCCGCGUGAGUGAAGAAGGUUUUCGGAUCGUAAAGCUCUGUUGUAAGAGAAGAACGAGUGUGAGAGUGGAAAGUUCACACUGUGACGGUAUCUUACCAGAAAGGGACGGCUAACUACGUGCCAGCAGCCGCGGUAAUACGUAGGUCCCGAGCGUUGUCCGGAUUUAUUGGGCGUAAAGCGAGCGCAGGCGGUUAGAUAAGUCUGAAGUUAAAGGCUGUGGCUUAACCAUAGUACGCUUUGGAAACUGUUUAACUUGAGUGCAGAAGGGGAGAGUGGAAUUCCAUGUGUAGCGGUGAAAUGCGUAGAUAUAUGGAGGAACACCGGUGGCGAAAGCGGCUCUCUGGUCUGUAACUGACGCUGAGGCUCGAAAGCGUGGGGAGCGAACAGGAUUAGAUACCCUGGUAGUCCACGCCGUAAACGAUGAGUGCUAGGUGUUAGGCCCUUUCCGGGGCUUAGUGCCGCAGCUAACGCAUUAAGCACUCCGCCUGGGGAGUACGACCGCAAGGUUGAAACUCAAAGGAAUUGACGGGGGCCCGCACAAG